AGUGAACGCUGGCGGUAGGCCUAACACAUGCAAGUCGAACGGCAGCACAGUAAGAGCUUGCUCUUACGGGUGGCGAGUGGCGGACGGGUGAGGAAUACAUCGGAAUCUACUUUUUCGUGGGGGAUAACGUAGGGAAACUUACGCUAAUACCGCAUACGACCUACGGGUGAAAGCAGGGGAUCUUCGGACCUUGCGCGAUUGAAUGAGCCGAUGACGGAUUAGCUAGUUGGCGGGGUAAAGGCCCACUAAGGCGACGAUCCGUAGCUGGUCUGAGGGGAUGAUCAGCCACACUGGAACUGAGACACGGUCCAGGCUCCUACGGGAGGCAGCAGUGGGGAAUAUUGGACAAAGGGCGCAAGCCUAAUCCAGCCAUACCGCGUGGGUGAAGAAGGCCUUCGGGUUGUAAAGCCCUUUUGUUGGGGAAGAAAAGCAGCAGGUUAAUACCCCGCUGUUCUGACGGUACCCAAAGAAUAAGCACCGGCUAACUUCGUG
rnacentral:rRNA from 1 species